rnacentral:rRNA from 1 species
GUAGCCGGCCUGAGAGGUGAUCGGCCACACUUGGGACUGAGAUACGGCCCAGACUCCUACGGGAGGCAGCAGUGGGGAAUAUUGCACAAUGGGCGGAAGCCUGAUGCAGCGACGCCGCGUGAGGGAUGACGGCCUUCGGGUUGUAAACCUCUUUCACAGGGACNAAGCGUAAGUGACNGUACCUGCAGAAGAAGCACCGGCUAACUACGUGCCNGCAGCCGCGGUAAUAUAGGGUGCGAGCGUUGUCCGGAAUUACUGGGCGUAAAAGUCNU